rnacentral:RNase_P_RNA from 2 species
UUCAUCAGCCGGGUUAUCGCUUUCCGCUUGCGGGAGGAGGAAAGUCCGGACAGCACAGGGCAGCACACCGGUUAACAGCCGGUCCUUGCAGCAAUGCGGGGGAGAAAGUGCCACAGAAAAUAACCGCCCCGCUUCGGUGGGGUAAGGGUGAAAACGUGAGGUAAGAGCUCACGGGUUCGUGCAGCAAUGCAUAAACCGGGUAAACCUUGUGUGCUGUAAUGCCACGUAUACCGGCGCCUGAGGGCGGCUCGUCCGAUGCCGGAGGGUAGGCAGCAACCGCCCCCGCAGCUUGCGGGGGCAAGAUCCCCGCAGUAAUGCGGGGGCCAGAUAAAUGAUAACCACCUGCCUUCGGCAGGAACAGAAUCCGGCUUACAGGCUGAUGUUCUUU